rnacentral:tRNA from 1 species
CAAAAUAUAGUUAAAUUAGUUUAACAUUUCAUUUACGUUGAGAAAAAUUAUCGUGCAAAUCGAUUUAUUUUGA